rnacentral:rRNA from 1 species
GAUGAACGCUGGCGGCGUGCCUAAUACAUGCAAGUCGAGCGAACGGACGAGAAGCUUGCUUCUCUGAUGUUAGCGGCGGACGGGUGAGCAACACGUGGAUAACCUACCUAUAAGACUGGGAUAACUUCGGGAAACCGGAGCUAAUACCGGAUAAUAUUUUGAACCGCAUGGUUCAAAAGUGAAAGACGGUCUUGCUGUCACUUAUAGAUGGAUCCGCGCUGCAUUAGCUAGUUGGUAAGGUAACGGCUUACCAAGGCAACGAUGCAUAGCCGACCUGAGAGGGUGAUCGGCCACACUGGAACUGAGACACGGUCCAGACUCCUACGGGAGGCAGCAGUAGGGAAUCUUCCGCAAUGGGCGAAAGCCUGAAGGAGCAACGCCGCGUGAGUGAUGAAGGUCUUCGGAUCGUAAAACUCUGUUAUUAGGGAAGAACAUAUGUGUAAGUAACUGUGCACAUCUUGACGGUACCUAAUCAGAAAGCCACGGCUAACUACGUG